CUGCGGCGGAUUAGGUAGUUGGUGGGGUAACGGCCUACCAAGCCGAUGAUCCGUAGGGGGCGUGAGAGCGUGGCCCCCCACACUGGCACUGAGACACGGGCCAGACUCCUACGGGAGGCAGCAGUGAGGAAUAUUGCACAAUGGGCGCAAGCCUGAUGCAGCAACGCCGCGUGAGGGACGAAGGCCUUCGGGUUGUAAACCUCUUUUCUGAGGGACGAGGAAGGACGGUACCUCAGGAAUAAGUCUCGGCUAACUACGUGCCAGCAGCCGCGGUAAAACGUAGGAGGCGAGCGUUAUCCGGAUUUACUGGGCGUAAAGCGCGCGCAGGUGGCUUCGUGAGUCGGACAUGAAAGCUCCUGGCUUAACUGGGAGAGGCUGUUCGAUACUGCGGGGCUUGAGGUUGGGAGAGGGACGCGGAAUUCCCGGUGUAGUGGUGGAAUGCGUAGAUAUCGGGAGGAACACCAGUGGCGCAAGCGGCGUCCUGGCCCACACCUGACGCUGAGGUGCGAAAGCGUGGGUAGCAAACAGGAUUAGAUACCCUGGUAGUCCACGCUGUAAACGAUGUCAACUGGGUGUCGGUAGUUUUACACUAUCGGUGCCGAAGCUAACGCG
rnacentral:rRNA from 1 species